rfam:Modestobacter marinus str. BC501 chromosome, complete genome.
CCAGGACCGCCGCCGAACCACAGCGGCUCGCAGCGACACCCGCGAGCCCGUGGACCGGGGACCCACCGCAGCACUGGGGUGAAGCACCUCGCUGCCCGCGCACGGGCACGAGGUACCGGGUGUCUUCCCGCCCGAACCCGUCAGCUAACUCGGUAGGCGGCAGGUGGAAGAAAG